rnacentral:lncRNA from 1 species
CUUGAAGAUAGCAAAGCUUGUAAUAAGAUAAUCACUUAUGGAGUUCUAAACUUCAUAAGGUGAGUACCAAAGGUAUGUAAAUAUAGAUUGUAAGCAUGUAUUAUUUCAGUUUAUGAAUAUCAAAGUAAAGUUUGUUAUGUUCAACAAAGUUUUCAUAAAAGGAUUUCAUUAAGUUUCUCAUGAUUCCUCGACAAUACAGAUAGAGAUUUUAAAAUAUUUUCAAAACAUUGAUUUUGAAUGGAUGUUAGUCAUGCCAAAGUACCCGUCUUUGAUGAAUGGUUUAGGGGAAAAAAUGCAGUUUUCUAACAAAAUUGUAGCACCUUGUGUGUGAGUUAUCUUUUAAAAUUUCGUUCCAAGUAAGAACUUGAUUCUGAAAAGAGUUUGGAUAGAGGUGAAAACAGAGACUCUGG